rnacentral:rRNA from 1 species
UACGUAGGUGGCGAGCGUUGUCCGGAAUCACUGGGCGUAAAGGGCGCGUAGGCGGCGAUGCAAGUCGCAUGUGAAAAACCAGGGCUCAACUCUGGGGGGUCAUGCGAAACUGCAUUGCUCGAGUGCGGUAGAGGAAAGCGGAAUUCCUGGUGUAGCGGUAAAAUGCGUAGAGAUCAGGAGGAACACCGGUGGCGAAGGCGGCUUUCUGGGCCGCAACUGACGCUGAGGCGCGAAAGCGUGGGGAG